AUUUUUAAUUAAACGUAAAUUAGUAAAUAAUGUAAUUUUACAUUAUAAUGAGAAUUAAAGUAUUAGUAAUUUAUUUUUGUUACUAAAAUUAAAUUCUGUUUGUUCCUGCAUAAAUCUUUUUAGUACUAUACUGCUUUGGAAUGAAUUUUUUUGGGGGACAACAGCAGGAUUAGCGCCAUCUUCUAGAUGCCAUCAGGUAGGUGCGCUGGCGUAGGUGUUUGUUGUAGCAUUAUUAUCCUAUUCCCCCCUUUUAAAAAUGUUUGUAAGACGCCUGAAAUUUGUAUAACUUAGUUAUAUAAGUAGUUGAAUAAGAAUUGGUGAGACUUGGAAAAUAGAAGAGGACAGAGAAGAUGGAAGAGGAUUGCUUUGAAAUAGAAGGAAAGGAGAUAGAAGAUGUUUGAGGAAAGGAGGAGGACUUUGUUCGCUGUAACGGAAGUUUUUUAAAUGAAAUUUGGAGCAACUGUAUUAAGAUGAUAUUGGUAUCUUGGACAUCAAGUUUCUUUUAUUUAUGUAUUAUACAAGAAUAUCUAUUGGUGAAAAUGUAGAAUGGCAGCUGUUAUAACAACUUGGAUGAAUUAUUAGAAACACCAAAGAAGUUUUGACAUAAUUUAAACUGGGAAAAGGCUCACAACUGACCAAUUUAUUCUACAGUUGAUACAGGACAUUAAAUUGACUUCAACAACGCAGAUGUCUUUCAAAAAUGUUGCUGUUACAAAUCUGCAAAUGAGUUACUACUGUACAUAAGUUGGAGGAAUGCCAAGGAUUUUUUUGAAUAAAAUGAUACUGAAAAUCUUACCCACAAAUGACAAUUUUAAGAUACAAUCAAUAGUAUUUGGAUUGAUUGGCCUUCAUUACCGUUGCGCUAUGAAAAUGGAUAUUGCUAUUUUACAUAGGAUAUUGCUAUUAGAAAUCAAUAAGACAUACUAGCUGCAAAUAAUAUGUAUGGUGGUCAUUAAAGAGAUUUAAAUGGAAUGAGAGGAGAGAAACUUUUGCAGAAGAAAUCAAGAAAAACUAUUUUGAACUGCUGUUACUUAAUAUAGCUGUUAGAGGGGAUCCAGUUCUUCAUCAAUGGUAUACCCUGGGACAAUUGCUGUUAAAAAUCCACAAGCCGUAUUAUCUGCAAAUAUUAUGGUGGACAUCAAAAAGCUUUAAUUGGAAUGAAACUUGCAGGAAAAGUGGUCGCAGUCCUUUAUCAAUGAUAUCUCCGCAUUUUUUUAACAAUGGAUAUCAUCAGUUGCUCCUACUUCUCACUUUCCUCUUUCACUCAACAUAAAGCAGACUCAAUACUCCUCAAUGCCUCACCAAGGUUCGUUAGCUUCAUUAAUAGUGUUAUUGUUUCAAUAAA